rnacentral:rRNA from 1 species
GACGAACGCUGGCGGCGUGCUUAACACAUGCAAGUCGAACGAAAAGGCCCUGCUUUUGUGGGGUGCUCGAGUGGCGAACGGGUGAGUAACACGUGAGUAACCUGCCCUUGACUUUGGGAUAACUUCAGGAAACUGGGGCUAAUACCGGAUACGAGCUCCUGCUGCAUGGUGGGGGUUGGAAAGUUUCGGCGGUUGGGGAUGGACUCGCGGCUUAUCAGCUUGUUGGUGGGGUAGUGGCUUACCAAGGCUUUGACGGGUAGCCGGCCUGAGAGGGUGACCGGCCACAUUGGGACUGAGAUACGGCCCAGACUCCUACGGGAGGCAGCAGUGGGGAAUAUUGCACAAUGGGCGGAAGCCUGAUGCAGCAACGCCGCGUGCGGGAUGACGGCCUUCGGGUUGUAAACCGCUUUCGCCUGUGACGAAGCGUGAGUGACGGUAAUGGGUAAAGAAGCACCGGCUAACUACGUG